rnacentral:lncRNA from 1 species
CUAAACAAGAACUUCCGGAAAUAACUAAAGAAGAAGCUAAUCUACGUUGGCCAUAAGCGCAACCUGCAUUGUCGGAUGGUGCAAAAUGUUAAUUAAAACACUAGUUUUUGGUAUUAUAAGUGCAUAAAUUCUAUAGCAUUGCAACUUGAGUAUAUCAUCAAUCUACUUUGUAAUUGUAACAUAUACAACACAAUCACAGGUCACCUCACAAUAAAUCUUCGAUCUAUGGCUAAUUAUAACAUCUAUAUUGGUAUUAAUUAAUUCAAUAAUGAAAACUUCUUUGAGCAGGUUAUGAUACCCUUGGGAAAAAUAAGCACAGUCAACCCAGUAAUCAUGAAAGAAAGUCCACCAGAGAAGUACAUUCAGAUUGUCACCAUUGACGGGCACGAAUUCUGGUUCAUGGGUUUCGUCAAUUUUGAGAAGGCAUCCCACCAUCUCUUAGAGAAGGCGUCGAAUCUCAGGGAAGCAGAAUACGCAAUUCAGCCCGUUGUUGUUUAGCCGAUUAUGUAAUUACAGUUGGAUACUCCAUGGCGUUCAAAUUUUUGCUUAUCUUGUUUGUUGUGUAUUUCUUGUUGUAGCAUGAAUCGCUUUUUAUUAGCUUCUGAAUUAUUCUUAAUUUUCUGUUGUGUAUUUACCUAUAACCUUUUUUUUUCAAAGAUGUCGUAAUAAUAUGCAUGUUAGAAUUCAAGUUGCGUUUGGAUGCAUGUUCUAAAUUUCCUACGCACAAAGACCAAGCUUGAAAAUUACUCCAUUAUGCAUACUUAAUUCCACCGCUUGCAUGCAAUGUCCAUGGAUGAAAAAGACGAUGGAGCUUAUUUCAUGUUUUCAACGUUUGAUGGUAAAAUAAGAAAACAAUCUUAAAAUUCAAAACGGUGGAGAGCUAGCAGAGGCGUGCUCACUUCUCCUACUUGGUUAAUUAAGCAUUAAGCACUAACAGUCCCAACAAAAUCUUUAGAGGAUGAAGAAUCUUAGAUGAAAUUUGGGUCAAAUCCUGCAAUGAUGGGUAGGAUGAUCUGGUACAUCAUUUUUCAGGGAUUUUAUUUAUUCUUAAUAUAUUUUAUAUUUUUUAAUUGGGCUAUAACAAUCCUAUAGCGUCACUGAAUUGAUUAUCGCAGGGGACAAGUCAGAGGGCAUGGAUUCAAAACUGGGAGCGCAAAUUAACUAAUAUUGAAAAGGUGUUGGAAAAUUACUGUAGAUUACAACAAUAAUUUAUAGUGUAUUUAUUUUUCGUUGUAUUUUGUCAAUUUUUUCCCAACUUUCUUCUUUUUUUUUCCAAAAUUACUUUCUUUUUUUUUUCAAAAUUACUUUUUUUUUUCAAAAUUAUUUUUGUUGAUUUUGCUUUUUAAAUAUUAAGCUGAUUAAAAAUUUCACUUUAUAAUUUUUUCUCUUUGAAAUACUGUGGAUUCCUGCGGUUUUUUCCCAUAUAGUUUUUUUAUUUUAUUUUUUUAUUUUUCAAAAUUAUAUUUGUCGAUUUUUUUUAAUAUUGAGUUGAUUGAGAAUUUAGUUUGGUAAUAUUUUUUCUUUAAAACAUUAUUGAUUGCUACAGUGUUUCUCCGCAUGGUUUUUUUUUUUUGUUUUUUUAUGAUUUUCUCCUAAAUUAUCUUUUUUUUAUUUUAUUUUUUAAUAUUUAGCUGAUUAAAAAUUACAGUUACAAUAUGUGAGGAAAUCACUGUAACUUUCCUCGCAGAUUACUGUGGAUUGCUACAGUGUUUUUUCCCACAUGAUUUUUUUCUGUUUUGUUAUGUUUUUUCUUCUAAAAUUGUCUUUGUUAAUUUUAUUUUUUAAAUAUUAAGCUGGUUAAAAAUUGCAAUUACAAGUAAAUACAAGUUUUUCCUCACAAAAUACUAUGGAUUGAUACAGUUUUUCCUCACAUGGUUUUUUUCCAGUUUCUUUUGUGUUUUCAUUUUUUGUAAUAUUUUUUUUCAAAAUUAUCUUUGUUGAUUUUAUUUUUUUUAAUUUUGAGUUUGUUAUAAUUUAACUUUGUAAUAAAGCUUAAUCAUGUGGGGAAAGCACUGUAGCUUUCCUUACAAAACAUUGUGGAUUGCUACAGUGGCUCUUCACAUGGUUUUUUUUUUCUUAUAAUUUUUUUCAAAAUUAUCUUUGUCAAUUUUAUUUUUUUAAUAUUGAGCUGUUUGAGAAUUACAAUUACAAAUAAAGCUAAAUCAUGUGGGGAAGCAUUGUAGCUUUCAUUACAAAACACUGUGAAUUUCUACAGUGUUUCCAACAUGAUUCCCACCCUUUUUUUGUUAUUUUUUUUUCUAAAAUUAUCUCUGUCGAUUUGUUUUUAAUAUUUAGCUGAUUAAGAAUUUAGUUUUGUAAUUUUUUUCUUUAAAACACUGUCAAUUGUUGCAGUGUUUUCCUAUAUGAUUUUUUUGUGAUUUUUUUUUAAAUUAUCUUUGUUGAUUUUUUUUAAAUAUUGAGUUGGUUAAGAAUUAUAAUUACAAUAAAGCUAAAUCAUAUGGGAAAAACGUUGUAGUUUUUCUCACAAAACACUAUGGAUUGCUACAGUAUUUCUUUAAAUGGUUUUUUAUUUUAUUUUAUUGGGGAAAACACUGUAGUUUUCCUCACAAAACAUUGUCACUUGCUACAAUGUUUUUUCUCAUUGGUUUUUUUUCCUUCCAAAAGUAUCUUUGUUGGUUUUUUUUAAUAUUAAGUUGGUAGAGAAUUUAGCUUUGUAUUUUUUUUCUUUUUAUUAACAGAAAAGCUAAAUAAUGUAGCGAAAGCACUAUAUCUUUCCUCACAAAACACUGUGAAUUGCUACAAAUCAUUUUGUUCAGUCUCUAAGUUUUUGAUUACCAACACAAUUUUUUUUUUCCGUCAUGAAAUAUUUGCUCCAUCAUACCUUUAGUUUCUAUUACUUAUCUAGCGCUGAUUCACAAUUAUAACACUAUCAAGUGCGUUUGUUUUAUAAGCCCGCGGCAGAGCGCAGACAUGUCAUCUCGUAUUUUCUAAAUUGUGUCAUGUUUUUUUUUAAAAAAAUAACCUUAAUAAAAAAAAAGAAAGGUUAGACACUAAUAAUAUAUACUACAUAAAACUCGAUUGAAAAUAGUUUUUUUAUUAUUAAGAAUUUAAAUUAAUUUUGAAUGUGAUUUUAUCAUAUUUAUAUUUUUUUAGCUUUUAAUCAUACAAAAAUAUAAACAUGCUAUUUUGAGAUAAUUUAUUAACUUGCUUUAACAAUCAUAAAUUAUUAUUUUUUAAACAGAAAAAAUAAUUCGUAUUAAAAACAUUGCAUUAAUCAAAAUAAACAAAAAAUACAUUAAUAGAAAAAUUUAUCUCCAUAAAAUAAAUUCAAAACAACUAUAUUUUCAUGUUUAUAAAGAAUACAUCAAUACCAAAGAAUUUUCUUAAACUUAUACAUUUUUUUUUCAUAUUUAAAAAAAAUUAAAUCCCCUCGCAACAUAUCGUGGAUAUACAAACCAGUAUAAACUAAAAGAGCAGCCAAUUUUAUUCUUAUUUUACCAUUUCUCAACAUUUAACUAUACUGUAAAUUGACACAGUGCACCUAAGUCUAAUCUUUUUUUUUUCUUCUAGUUGUUGCAAAUCCUUCAUUCGAUUUUAGUCAAUGAACUGUUAAGUAAUUAAUCACUUGAAGCUCAAAUUAAUUCUAUUGUUUAUAUAUAUAUAUAUAAACAAGUGAGUUUUUUAAGUUUAUGUUUCUUUUAAUUUGACCUUUUUUCAUAUUUUUUCAAUAUAUUUUAAAAAUAUCGUUUCGGUGCAAUUCAUUUUAUAAUUGUUCGGUACUUUUACAUAUUUUAUUUGUAGUGUGAAGUUUUUUUUUUUAAAAAAAAAAAAAGAGUUAGUGAUGAAAUGAUAAAUAAAAGGAAAAGAAAAACCAAAAUAAACAGGAAAGUUUUGCCUAUCUCUCAAAGUAACUAAAAGAUAAGAGAAGGAGGAAGAAUAUAAGAAAGAAGAUGAUGAAAAAAAAAAAGUGGUUAAAUAGGACUGGUAAGCAGGGAAGGAGGAACCAAUGCUCAUUUUUUUGUCCACUUAGAUAAAGCACGGAACUCAUAGCAAUCGAAGAAGAAUCCUUUGUUUUGGGAGGAAGGAAGAAGAUACGGCGGAACGAAGGAAGUUCUUUAGAAAGAGACUUUGAUUCUCGACUAAGAUGCCCGAAGAAGGCAGAGUCUGUUAGAGCAGAUAGUGAAACCCUAGGCUUCAAACCUUGAUUUAUUUCUAUUUCUUCAAAAAGACAAGAAGGAGCGCCACUGAUAAGGGGCGGUUAGGAAGAACUCCGUCGCUGAGAAAUGCCCUCCUUUCGGCUUCGCCUUGUGAUCAGAACCAAGACAGAUGGUUUUGGUACAGAAUAGAAAUGUCACCAAAACCACCUUAUCAGUGGAUCUCUCUCCGUCCUAUCAUACCUCUAGCAAACAACAAAGAUGAACUUCGAGCUAUUUCCCAUUCAAAAAAAUAUUACGUUACAAUUCAAAGCUUCGUUAAACGAGACGGAAGAUAUUAUAUUUAUCUCAUGGAACGAGCUAUCUUCAGGUCCUAGUCCAAAAUCAUUCUUUUAGUUUAGAUUCUAUCAAUUUUAGAAAAUUGAAACAACAGGGAUCAGCAAUGACACGACCAAACAAAUGCAGCCCCUUUUCACUUUGGCAUGGAAAAGUACAAGUUGAUCCUUGUAGUUUUAAGUUUUUAAUUUUAUCAUGCAUUUUGCCUAGAUGGACUGGGCUAAGAGUUUAUGCAGUGAAAGUGACUCAACUUUUCACACUAAGAGGAUAACACCUUCUUAGAGUGUCGGUCAGGGGUGUGAUGAAUUUUAUGGAAAAAAAAUAUCUGUUUAUAUUAAAGAUUAAAAAUAUGUUAAUGAAAAUUCAAAAAUACGUUUUCUAUUUAUAUUAUUUUUAAUAAAUUUUUAACAUGAUCUUAUAGCAUUAAUUAAAUUUGUUUAUCUUUAAUUUCAUACAAAAUAUUAAAUAUUAUUCUAAAUAAAAUUUUUUUUAUAAAAAAGGAGUACUAAUUUCUAUAAUUAUAUAUUUGAUAUUAUGAUAAUUUUUAUUUUUUAAAAUUGUUUUUAUAUAAAAAAUAUUAAAUUAAUAAUUUUUUAGAUAUUUUAUUAAUUUGUUGAUGCAAAGCAGACAAACCUUCUUUUCUAUCCGUGAUAAUAUCAAGCGGUGCUUUGACAAUGGCACCCCUUUUGCAAAAUAUCUAAAAAGAGCAUGAUUUAUAUGGCUAGCUAAGAGGCUGAACACGUUCUUGCUAAUCUAGAAGGUUGAUCUUUCAUCUUUCUUCAUUGCAAAGAAAACGAAACCGUGUCUGCAAAAUAUCUAAAAAGAGCAUGAUUUAUAUGGCUAGCUAAGAGGCUGAACACGUUCUUGCUAAUCUAAAAGGUUGAUCUUUCAUCUUUCUUCAUUGCAAAGAAAACGAAACCGUGUCUGCAAAAUUAUAUAUUAUGGAUAACCCAUGAAUUGAACUUCUAUAAAUCAACAGUUUAUUAGCACCAAUCAAACCAUUAAAUCUUCCAAAGAGUUCUCACUGAAUAAGAUAACCAAUCUUGAUGUGCCGUUUUUUGUGUUUUCCCCCUUUACCUUCCAUUCAAUUCCAUUUAGUAAAGAUGACAGGCACUCCUCAAGAGACAGAAACCCAACAAGUAUCAUCUGCCACUGUCACGGAGGAAUCCCACCCUAAUGAUCACCCACCAGCAUCGGAUGAGAAACCCAAUAAAUGGGGCACCCACAUCAUGGGACCAGCAGCAGCUCCUAACGUCCACCCUGACAACCAACAGGCUGCCUUAUGGAAUGCCAGUGAGCACCAGCAAAUCCCCGAGCACCCAUACCUGGUUUAUACUCCCAUUGACAAAUCAGAAAAGUCAACCCAGAAAUCUUUUGAACCUGUGAUCCAUAAGUUUCAGGAAUGGGGCAAGAAGGCAGAGACCGUAGCCCGUAACAUGUGGCACAAUCGUAAGUUGAUGUUCACAAACCAUGAAAUAUUAAAUUUAGCUAAUUGAUCAUCACUGUGACUGUGACCAUGAUAGAGUAGCGAUUUUCUGGCAUCAAAGCGGACAACAAAUUUAGUUCAAGUGUAUCUUCCAAUCUUAUUUCUGAUCUGUUUUAACACGCACCUGCACAUACACUUUAAUGCAGUUAGCACAGGGCCAUCUGUGCCACAAACUGCCUGGGGUAAGGUAAACCUGACGGCGAAAGCAAUAACAGAGGGUGGCUUUGAGUCUCUCUUCAAGCAUAUAUUUGAAACCGAUCCUAAUGAGAAGCUGAAGAAGACUUUUGCUUGUUACCUCUCAACAUCUACUGGCCCUGUUGCCGGGACGCUCUAUCUAUCAACUGCUCGAGUCGCGUUCUGCAGCGACCGUCCUCUGUGCCAUACUGCUCCUUCAGGGGAGGAGGCCUGGAGCUACUACAAGGUAAAUACAUCGCUAGACACCAAGUCGGAUAGAUUUUACCACAUUCAUAGCUAUUAUUAUAUAUAGUUAAGCUCUGUUAAAUUCCAAACAAAAGGUGAAGUUGAGAGAAAUCGUGCAUCUAUAAAAGGGUAGUUCACGGAGAUACAGCAAAACAAAACUAAAUAUAUUUGGCAAUCAAAGCUCAAACUAAAUUUUCUAUCUUGCUAUAGUCAUCCGUGUAUAUCAUGGUAGUACUUAAUGAAUUCAAUAAUAACUUAUUUUGAGCAGGUUAUGAUACCCUUGGACAAAAUAAGCACAGUCAGCUCGGAGAUCAUGCUGGAAAAUCCAUCAAGGAAGUACAUUCAAAUUGUCAGCACCGAUGGGCACGACUUCUGGUUUAUGGGUUUCGUUAAUUUCGAGAAAGCCUUGCAAAAUCUAUCAGAGAGCGUGUCGAGUUUCAAGGAAGCAGGAAUUGCAAUUCAACCAGUUGUUGCUUAGCCAAUGAUUGCAUUUGGAGUUGAAUCCUUCAAAAUUUUGAUUUUCACUGUUUCUAGUGGAUUUAUUGUUUGUUGCCUGAAGGGAGCUUUCCUUUAGUCUUCCUCUUGUCAUUCUUUUAUUCUUGUCGCACCCUACAUCGCGACAACCUUAAAAAUUUAUCAUGAAAUAAAAUGGAUUUCUGGUAUCCUGUUUUUUAAUGGGGAACGGUUUUGUUUAAGGAGUCGCCACCUAGUAUUAUGGUCACUAGAAACCCUAACUGGUCAACAGAGAUUCUAUGGUACGAGACUGGUUACGUAAAAGGAAAGAUACUAUCACCCCUUAAACGUCCUGCCUGAGGCAGGCUGCAUUGCUGGUUUUGUCAUAAAUUGCUAACAUUUUGUUGGUUUAUGUUAUGAUGGUUUGUGUGUAAUAUUCCUGACUCUGACGCUAGUGAAUAUUUAACUACAGAUAUUUCCAACUCUGGCGUUGGUAAAUAUUACGCGGCUAUAAAAACAAAAUAAAUCUAAAUCAGUAUUUUUUAUUCCUGACUCUGGCGUCAGUGAAUAAACAAAUCAAAUAAAUUUAUUUUUUACGCAUACACAUUUUUUUAUGUAACUAAAUAAAAGUAAAAUACAAUAAAAUAAAAUAAAUUUACAUCAAUAUCUUUAUUCCUGACUCUGGCGUCAGUGAAUAAACCAAUAAAUUUAUUUUAUUUUUGCAUUCAUAUUUUUUAUUUUUAUGUAAUUUAAAUAAAAUACAAUGAAAUAAAUUUGAAUCAAUAUUUUUAUUCUAACUCUAGCAUCAAUGAAAAAAAAAAUUCAUAUUUAUUUUUUUAUUUAUACAUACACACAUCUUUGUUUUUUUGUUUUGUUUUUUUGGACUGGGCUGGACCCAGCCAGCCCGGCCCGGGUCACUGGCCCAAGCCAGUGACCCGGCUGGGCAAAAUGUGGAGCACGCGUGAAGUGAUUUCACGCGUGCAUUCACUGUGCGAAGGUAGUACAGUGUUCUUUGAUCAUUUAAUUUCAAAGAACGCAAAGGGAUGAAGAGCUGGCGUACCUGCUUCUAGAGUGGCGAAGAUGGCUGCAACGCUGGUGGUGACUUUCGCCUGCUUGAUACCUUUACUUCUGCCUUCCCUUUUUGCUCCUGUUUCCACGGUCUGCUUUCGUUUUCCAGCAGAUUUUGAGAUAAUGAAGGAACCGAGAACGAAGGUGCCGGCUUCUGUGGAUACUGAUUUUUGGGUCGUUUUCUGCAGGGAUGAAAGCAAUGGCAGAACCCAUUAUCCUCUCCGUGUUGUUCCUCUGCUUUUCUUUUGUUUCAAUUCGUGCUCUGCCUUCCCCUGUUUUCUGGUUUUUUUCUCUGGGUUUUGCUCCAGUUCUCUCCUCUGGUUCUUUUUUUUCCCCCCUGGUUCUGUUUUUUUCGUCUAGGUUUAGCUUGAGUUUUUCCUCGGUUUCUCCUUCAAACCCCCCUGCUUUUCUUCCUCUGUUUUCUGGGUUUUUCUUCUCUGGUUUUUCGUUUCCCCCCCCCCCCCCCUCUCGCUCUGGGUUUUUCUUCCCCUUUUAUAGAGACCCAGCAGCUUGCCUCUAACCAGUCCUGCCUUUGCAGGACUGUUAUCUUCCACGAACGAGAUCGUGGGCAAGAGACGUGGUCCACGAUUGGAUCUGUUGCAGAUUUUCAGGUCUCCGGUUGAAUCGGGAUGAAGAAGAUCACACGACUGUUCCACCAGCAAUGGCGACGUUUCGGCUAAAAGACACAUUUUCAUUUUGACCCCUGCUUCUUUGGAAAUUCGGCAAUUGGAUCUCUAAGCAAUUAAAAAUUUAUUUUAAUUUUGCCCUUUUGGAUUAAUUUCAAUUAAAUACCUAAAUUAUAACACUGUUUACAAAACAGUCCUUAAUUCCCGGAUUGUUCAAUUUGGCCUUUAAUUAAAUCUUUAACUUUUAAUUCUUUCAAAAUUGAUCAAUUAACUCUCAAAUUUUAUAAUUACAUCCCCAAACUUCAAAUUUUGUGUUGUCUUAACCCCAUUGUCAACUAUAUUUAAUUUUUAUUAUUUUGUUCAAAAAUUGGGUUAAGACAGUUGCCUUCUCUUUAUAAUAUUUACAAUACAAAGACAUUGAAAAAUUUCAUUUUCUUGAGCUUUGUGUGGUAAAUUUAUAAAAAAAAAAUGUAGACAAAUUUUUUUUUGUUUUUGUUUUUUUAAGUCUUGAAAACUUCGAAAACAUAUGACUUUUACAGAGAGAACAGGUCAUUUGGAAGACAGCCCAUUUUUGAUUUUUUUGUUUUUUUUUUUGAAAUGAAUCAAAUUGUUUUGGGCAUCCAGCCCGAUGAUAAAAGAAACGCGAAGAAUUUCGCGAGUGGUCUAAUUGUUCCAGGCGACCUGCCCGAUAAAGAAUAAAACGCGAAAAUGGUUUCGCAAGUGGUCUAAUUGUUCCAGGCGACCUGCCCGAUGAUUGAAAAAUACGAGGAUUUUUCAUGAUGAUCACAUUGUAAUGGGUUACCUGCCCAGAUGGUUACAUUGUAAUGAGUUACCUGCCCAGUGAACAAAUACGAGGAUUUUUCAGGAUGGUACAUUGUAAUGGGUUACCAGCCCAGAUGGUCACAUUGUAAUGGGUUACCUGCCCAGUGAAAAAAUACGAUGAUUUUUUCAAAAGAAGACGUGAUAGGGCUCGAAGGCGCAUUGUUCAAUAGAUGGAAGCUCGAAGGUAAUGAGGGCUCGGAGGCGCGCUCAAAAGGAAAUGAGAGCUCGAGGGCGCACUCAAAAGGAGGUAGGGUUAGGAAAGGCAUUACCUUUAAUGGCCGAGGACUCGAAGGCGCACUCGAAAAGAAAUGAGGUGAGGGCUCAAAGGCGCACUCAAAAGGAGGUAGGAUAGGAAACACACUACCUUUGAUGGUCGAGGGCUCGAAGGCGCGCUCGAAAAGAAAUGAGGUGAGGGCUCGAAGGCGCCCUCAAAAGGAGGUAGGAUAGAAAAUGCACUACCUUUGAUGGUCGAGGGCUCGAAGGCACACUCGAAAGGAGGUAGGGUAGGAAACACACUACUUUUGAUGGUCGAGGGCUCGAAGGCGCACUCGAAAAGAAAUGAGGUGAGGGCUCGAAGGCGCACUCAAAAGGAGGUAGGAUAGGAAAUGCACUACCUUUGAUUGUCGAGGGCUCAAAGGCGCACUCGAAAGGAGGUAAGGUAGGAAACGCACUACCUUUGAUGGUCGAGGGCUCGAAGGCGCACUCGAAAAAAAAAAUGAGAUGAGAGCUCGAAGGCGCACUCAAAAGAAGGUAGGGUAAGAAACGCACUACCUUGGGAAUGGAAAAUGAAAGGUGGUGGAAAAAUACAGAGAUUUUUCAGGUGGCCUAAUUCUCAUUGGCGGCCUGCCCAGGUUGAAAAAUUCUCAAAAGUGAAAAAUUUUCAAAAGCAAUUUCAAUGUUCGCCAUUUCAAGUUGGCCUUCCACUUGAUGAAUUUCGUUAGAAUUUUCUCUUAUGAAAUUUGCAAAACUUAUUGUACAAUGUCUCAAAGUUUAAAUGAUAUGCAUGCAUCUUUACCUGAUUUGAAAUAUAGGCCCCCCAUUUCUUCGUAGUCUUCUUGUUGCUUGGUUGGUGAGAUCUUGUCAUCUUUAUCGUUUGGCUUUCUAGCCCACUCGAGUUAGCCCAUAUAAGUCUUUUUCCAGAUUUGUUUGCACAACUCAAGCUUUGUGGUGCCCAUCGUGACCCACUUGCUUGCUAAAGAUUUUCUGACUCGUCAAAUAAUUUGAGAGGAUCAUUCAUUACCCCUCGUCUCACUGCUAAAAACAUUCGGUGUCACUAGUUGAAAGGAUCAAUCUGUCUUUUAUAAACCAAAAUGCCCCCUUGUCUUGUUGAAGGAAAUUAACAUCUCCUUUUCUAGAAUUUUUCCUUCUAAACACAAUGUUGCCCCCUUGUAUUGGUCAUUGCCCCUAAGUGUGCUCUGUCAGCGACUUAGACAAAUAAUGGUUUUAAGAGGUCAUUCUUUCAUUUCUCUCCUUUUCAGUUUGGUGAAGGAAUAUGGGUCUAGAAUGAAUCUUGAAAUCUUGAUCUUGCAUUUUGAAAACAAAAAUUAUUUCGAUGUGAGUCUAAAACAAUUUGCUUUUGAAAUCUUGCAACUCCUUGGUUAUUUUCUUUCUUGGAAAAGAGAUUAUUUGCUCUUGUGUUUGGCAAUGAGGUCUUCGGUAAAAAUACGUCAUGAGAUGACCUUUUGUUUUUAUAGGUUUUCAAAGUGGAGGGCUCGAGAAAAAGCUCGAGGUUUUGUAUGAGAAAAACUUGUCUCUUUUUUAACACUCAUUUUUAUCAGCAUGAAUAAUAAUGAGUAGUUUGUUCUUGAUAUCAUGAGUUUUAUGAAAAGUAUUCUUUGCAUUUUGAGAGCAUUGUUUAUUGUUCUAGGUUGCUUGCUUGCUUGAUUAGAAAGGACUUCUACAGGCACGUAACGUAGGCUGUGGUUUUUGGCUAUGAAAAAAAUGAUUCAUAAGGCUCAAAGAGUGUUUCAGGGUUUCAAAGAUUGAGGAUCACUAUCAACAGUUUAAUUCUUGAUGUCAUUCAUAUUUUCUUUUGCCGCUCUUUUUUGAUUUGCUGCUUUUUAUUUUUUUUAUUGCUUUGCUAGGACAUACUCAAUUUAUCUUGGAUGUCACUUUUUGUAGUCAUUUGAGCAUGCCCCCUAGCAUUUGAGUUUCUUGAGCUCUUAUGCCUUUUUGGCUUUCUCACGGCCUUUUCUCUUUUCUCAAUGAAAUUUUCUCUUGCCCCCUAGUGUGGAGUGUGAUCCUAAUCGGGAUUUAUUUCAUGAAAUAAAAAUUAUUCAGGCUAAAAAAGAGAUCGCAAGGGAUGUACUUAUUUCAGAAUGUGAAAGGAAUAACAAAGAUGACAUUUCCUCAUUUCAAGCACAAGUAGUUAAGAUCAAUAAACUGUGACCUCAUCCAGUAUGAUGGUUUGGUCUUUGCAAAGAUGCAUUUCAUGAAUCAUGAGCAACGAGUUCACUACAUACCAUUAUUCAUACAUUUAAAAACUCAUGAUUCAAAAGUCAUAGGGUAAGGGUGUUUAUUCACUUCUUUUUUUUUCUUUUUUUUUGGUUUAUAAUUUAGUCACCUUAAUGACAGAGUUGCUUGAUUCACUUGUCAUUCUACAAGUAGAAUGUCAAAAUAUCAUUUUUGAAUAAACCUCAAAUUAUUUUUUGAAAUCAAAAUGCCAGAUCAAUUUUUCAAAACUCCAAUAGGGGAACUAAUUUUGGUAAAAGAGAUGAAUUGCGUCUAUGAGACUACACGAGGCUUUAAAAGUGUAUUCGUGAGUUCUUAUAAGAAAACUCUCUUAAGAAGAUGAAUAAUGUUUGGUCGUAAACACAAUUGAAUGACAAACUCAUUAUUUCAUUGAAACUUUAGAAAAGAAGUUCAAUAACAAAGAACUUAUGCCAACAUCUUGGGCUAUGAAAAUUGGCUUGGUAACACAUAAAGGGGCUAAACAUUUAGCAAUCAUUGAUUGGAAUUUCUGGAAUCUUUCAAUCAUUCAUUCUCCUCAACAAGGGCAUCUUUUCAACAAUCAAUUGAAGUCAUAUGUAGAUCAUUCUCGACCUAAUAUCACCAUAGCUUUCUCUUCAAGAUAGUUGAUUUCUGGGAGUCGGCGUGAAGAAAUUAGCUAUAAGAACCAUAAAAGUCUUGGCCACCCCCUUCAGUGAACCCGUUCUUCUCAGUCGGGUUAGCAAUCUUACCUAACCCAAUGGCUUGUUCAAUCCUUUCAACUAUAACAACCAGGUCAGUGAAAUGUUGUGCAGAGCUUCUAACCAAGUAUUCAAAGUACGGAGCUUUAAAGCUGUUGGAAAAUAAACUGAUCAUCUCUUUUUCCAACAUAGGAGGGUUAACUUGUAUAGCUACCUCCCUCCAUCUUUGAGCGUAUUCCCUUAUGGACUCCUUGUUGUCCUUCUCCAUAGCUUGUAAGUUUAACCGAUCAGGGCCCACGUCUAUAUUAAACUUAUAUUGCCUCCUGAAGGCAUCAACUAAAUCCUUCCAUUUUUUAACCUUGGUAUUGUCCAACCGCAUAUACCAAGUGAGGGCAACAUCACUUAAGCUGUCUUGAAAGAAAUGAAUCAGCAGUUUCUCAUCAUCAACCACCUCAGCCAUUUUGUUGCAGUAUGCUUUGAGAUGAGUUAUAGGGCAUUGAGUUCCCGUAUAUUUGAUAAAUUUUGGCACUCUAAACUUUUUGAGAAUGACAACGUUAGGCACCAAACACAUCUCAGCAGCCUUUAUAGGAUCAUGUAGGCGAAUUCCCUCAAAUGCCCUCAUCCUUUGCUCUAGGGCAAUGAAUUUGUUCAGAUCAUCUUCUUUUACCAUCUUGCCUUUUUUAGAUUCCUUCUCGUUUGCUCCCGGAUUCUGUGGAGUGAAGGGAUUUACGAGCAUAGGUUCAGGCUGAGCUAUAUGUAUUGCUUUUUCGAAUUUGUCUCUCAAGGCCUGUUCGAGUAGACUAGUAAGCCUUGCGACUUCUUCUUUAAUAUUGUCCACCUCUUUUUUGUGUUGGGCUUUCAACUGGGCUCUUUCUUCGUUUUCCAUUUGUCUUUUUCUCAAAUGAUUGUUAUAGGUAGGUUUCAAUAGGGAACCUAUAAUUCAACCUGGGAAUGUAAAUCAUGCAAUUUAUGCAAAAAUGUUGAUUCAAUAAAAAAUGCGUAUGAAAUGCGGACUCGCCCUUCACGGGGUGACAAACUAAUAGGAAGAUCCUAAUUGUUGAGUGCAUCAAGGGGUUGGUCAUUAUCUAGUUUCAAAGGGUUUCUCGCAUGCUCAGUGAUCGUCCUUGAAAGGUCGAUAUGAGGCUUACAAGUAGUGUGAAAAUAGAGGCCCUGACUAAUAUCAGUUUGGCAUAUUAACCACUUCCAAGUAAACAAUCAAGCGAGAGCUGGAUGGUUUCACGAGUCUUACCCAAGCUAAAGCCGUUGGGGUACCGUUACUUCCCCACAUAUCCUAGAUUUUCAGGUGUGUGCUCUUAACGUGAUGCAUGACAAUAUAAACAUGGAUGCAUGCUAAAGCAAUAAAUGCAGGAAAAAUAAACAAAUAAACACAACAAACAAACAUUAUAGCAAUUGACAAACAAAAGGCAAAGCUUAGUCCAUUAGUCCCAAUGGAGUCGCCAUUCUGUCGCACCCGACAUCGCGGCGGCCUUAAAAAUAAUAUGGUGGAAUAGAAUGGAUUUCUGGCAUCCUGUUAUUUAAUGGGGAACAGUUUUGUUUAAGGAGUGGCCACCUAGUAUUAUGGUCACUAGGAACCCUAACUGGUCAACAGAGAUUCUAUGGUACGGGACUGGUUAUGCAAAAGAAAAGAUAUUAUCACCCUUUAAACGUCCUGCCUGAGGCAGGCUGCAUUGUUGGUUUUGUCAUAAAUUGCUAACAUUUUGUCGGUUUAUGCUAUGAUGGUUUGCGUGUAAUAUUCAUGACUUUGACGCCAGUGAAUAUUUAACUACGAAUAUUUCCAACUCUGGCGUUGGUAAAUAUUACGCAGCUAUAAAAAAAAUAAAUCUAAAUCAGUAUUUUUUAUUCCUGACUCUGGCGUCAGUGAAUAAACAAAUCAAAUAAAUUUAUUUUUUACGCAUACACAUUUUUUAUGUAACUAAAUAAAAGUAAAAUACAAUAAAAUAAAAUAAAUUUACAUCAGUAUCUUUAUUCCUGACUCUGGCGUCAGUGAAUAAACCAAUAAAUUUACUUUAUUUUAUUUUAUUUUUGCAUGCAUAUUUUUUAUUUUUAUGUAAUUUAAAUAAAAUACAAUGAAAUAAAUUUGAAUCAAUAUUUUUAUUCUGACUCUGACAUCAAUGAAUAAAAACAAUAAAUUCAUAUUUAUUUUUUAUUUAUACAUACACACAUCUUUGUUUUUUUGUUUUGUUUUUUUGGACUGGGCUGGACCCAGCCAGCCCGGCCCGGGUCACUGGCCCAAGCCAGUGACCCGGCUGGGCAAAAUGUGGAGCACGCGUGAAGUGAUUUCACGCGUGCAUUCACUGUGCGAAGGUAAUUAAAUUACCUUCGCACUGUGUUCUUUGAUCAUUUAAUUUCAAAGAACGCAAAGGGAUGAAGAGCUGGCGUACUGCUUCUGGAGUGGCGAAGAUGGCUGCAACGCUGGUGGUGACUUUCGCCUGCUUGAUACCUUUACUUCUGCCUUCCCUUUUUGCUCCUGUGCCCACGGUCUGCUUUCGUUUUCCAGCAGAUUUUGAGAUAAUGAAGGAACCGAGAACGAAGGUGCCGGCUUCUGUGGAUACUGAUUUUUGGGUCGUUUUCUGCAGGGAUGAAAGCAAUGGCAGAACCAAUUAUCCUCUCCGUGUUGUUCCUCUGCUUUUCUUUUGUUUCAAUUCGUGCUCUGCCUUCCCCUGUUUUCUGGUUUUUUUCUCUGGGUUUUGCUCCAGUUCUCUCCUCUGGUUCUGUUUUUUCCCCCCCUGGUUCUGUUUUUUUCGUCUAGGUUUAGCUUGAGUUUUUCCUCGGUUUCUCCUUCAAACCCCCCCUGCUUUUCUUCCUCUGUUUUCUGGGUUUUUCUUCUCUGGUUUUUCGUUCCCCCCCCCCCCCCCUCUCGCUCUGGGUUUUUCUUCCCCUUUUAUAGAGACCCAGCAGCUUGCCUCUAACCAGUCCUGCCUUUGCAGGACUGUUAUCUUCCACGAACGAGAUCGUGGGCAAGAGACGUGGUCCACGAUUGGAUCUGUUGCAGAUUUUCAGGUCUCCGGUUGAAUCGGGAUGAAGAAGAUCACACGACUGUUCCACCAGCAAUGGCGACGUUUCGGCUAAAAGACACAUUUUCAUUUUGACCCCUGCUUCUUUGGAAAUUCGGCAAUUGGAUCUCUAAGCAAUUAAAAAUUUAUUUUAAUUUUGCCCUUUUGGAUUAAUUUCAAUUAAAUCCCUAAAUUAUAACACUGUUUACAAAACAGUCCUUAAUUCCCGGAUUGUUCAAUUUGGCCUUUAAUUAAAUCUUUAACUUUUAAUUCUUUCAAAAUUGAUCAAUUAACUCUCAAAUUUUAUAAUUACAUCCCC